rnacentral:snoRNA from 1 species
AACAUUCGAAUCGAAUACUCGAAAAAUUUCAAAAGCGAGUAUCAUGAUUUCGUUUGUUUGAAUAGGAAGAUCUGAUGC